UGGAAGCGUCCGCCCCUGGUGCCGGGAGCACAGACAGACACACAGAUCUGGGUCCCGGCCGCGCUCGAGUCCUCCGGAUUCCGCGGGCACCUGCCCUCAAGCGCGCAGCAGCCCCACUCGGGGCUACCCACGCCUGCAGAGAAGGAGAGAGGUGUCAAGCCCCAAAGUCCCUUGAGCAACUGGCGGAAACGGUACAGCACGGCCGGAACCUAGAUCUGUCUGUCUGUCUGUGCUCCUGGCACCAGGGAUGUACGCUUCCACACUUCACAAACAGCUGCGGUUUGUGCUAAGGACACUUUAUUAGAGUAUAGAUAGGUGGCAGUUACACCAGUCUGCACACGCUGAGCUCCCUAUAUGUUCUGUAUGCUAUAGAAAAUGAUCUACCAUAGCUGGGGUACUGGCUAGCAGGUGCGUUCCUUUCCAACGUCAGCUGGAGAAUUAAAAAGCAGAAGGACACAAAGUAAAAGUGAAAUUCAUUGGCGAUCGAUACAGGCCUCUUUCUUGGUCCACUGGCACAAAAAUACCCAAAUUGUUGAUUGGCUGAGGUAAGAGUGGAUACCCCAGUGUUCUCUCCUUUUUGUGGUGUGACAGCUACAGAGAGGCCCACAAUAUAUGACGGAAUGUGGUAUAUGUUUCAGAGAAAUGGACACUUGCUGCUGGGUGCCUACCCCACCAAUAAAUGGAAACUCACUAUUUUUGGAGGCUAAAUAAAUAAA